GUGUUUGGAUCGUCCCUACCAGCGGGCUCCGUGCCUAUCCAUCGAACGGCUGGCAGGCGAUCCGCGUUGGUCGCGCAAGGUAGGAUGGUUCUCUAGAGGCUAGUUCUUGUACUGCCUACCCCUCUAAGGGAAUCAGGACACUUGACACUCAAGCCUCCAUCCAGCUCCUUCCAAUGGGCGCAGGAGGACAAUAAAGCAUCCCCCGCGUUCCACCAAGCCUUCGUCGAUCACGUGGCCUACGGGGGCGUGUGAUGCUCUCGGACCCAGAGCACGCCGUGGGCGAGGACUCAUGUCCCAGUCCCAAGAGAAGCUUAGGUAUGAUGGAUGAAGGCCGCUCCCGCCCCCCGACCACCCCGACGGCGCGAGGGCGAGGUGCGGCGUCGUGGAGGAAUGCUACCUGGUUAAUCCUGCUAGUAGUCAUAUGCUUGUCU
rnacentral:misc_RNA from 1 species